rnacentral:rRNA from 1 species
GACAGAGGGUGCAAACGUUGUUCGGAAUUACUGGGCGUAAAGCGAGUGUAGGCGGUUUGGUAAGUCGGAUGUGAAAGCCCCGGGCUCAACCCGGGAAGUGCACUCGAUACUGCCAAGCUAGAGUAUCGGAGAGGUUGGUGGAAUUCUCGGUGUAGAGGUGAAAUGCGCAGAUAUCAGGAGGAACACCGGUGGCGAAGGCGGGUCUCUGGGCAGUAACUGACGCUGGAGGAGCGAAAGCGUGGGGAGCGAACAGG